rnacentral:misc_RNA from 1 species
UGGAAACCAUCACUCUUCUGCUAGCUUUGAAGGUUGAGUAUCCAAAUAAUGUGCAUUUGAUUCGUGGGAACCAUGAAGCAGCAGAUAUAAAUGCCCUAUUUGGCUUUCGGAUUGAGUGCAUUGAAAGAAUGGGCGAAAGAGAUGGAAUUUGGACAUGGCAUCGGCUAAAUCGUUUGUUUAACUGGCUCCCUUUGGCAGCCUUGAUUGAAAAAAAGAUUAUUUGCAUGCAUGGUGGUAUUGGUCGGUCGAUUAACCAUGUGGAGCAGAUCGAGAGUCUUCAGCGUCCUAUAACUAUGGAAG